rnacentral:rRNA from 1 species
UCGAACGCUCACCUUCGGGUGGGAGUGGCAGACGGGUGAGUAACACGGGGAACGUACCCUUUGGUUCGGGACAACUCUGGGAAACUGGAGCUAAUACCGGAUACGCCCUUUUGGGGAAAGGUUUACUGCCAAAGGAUCGGCCCGCGUCUGAUUAGCUAGUUGGUGGGGUAACGGCCUACCAAGGCGACGAUCAGUAGCUGGUCUGAGAGGAUGAUCAGCCACACUGGGACUGAGACACGGCCCAGACUCCUACGGGAGGCAGCAGUGGGGAAUAUUGGACAAUGGGCGCAAGCCUGAUCCAGCCAUGCCGCGUGAGUGAUGAAGGCCUUAGGGUUGUAAAGCUCUUUUAUCCGGGACGAUAAUGACGGUACCGGAGGAAUAAGCCCCGGCUAACUUCGUGCCAGCAGCCGCGGUAAUACGAAGGGGGCUAGCGUUGCUCGGAAUCACUGGGCGUAAAGGGCGCGUAGGCGGCGUUUUAAGUCGGGGGUGAAAGCCUGUGGCUCAACCACAGAAUGGCCUUCGAUACUGGGACGCUUGAGUCUGGUAGAGGUUGGUGGAACUGCGAGUGUA